rnacentral:rRNA from 1 species
UACGUAGGUGGCAAGCGUUGUCCGGAAUUAUCGGGCGUAAAGCGCGCGCAGGCGGUUCCUUAAGUCUGAUGUGAAAGCCCACGGCUCAACCGUGGAGGGUCAUUGGAAACUGGGGAACUUGAGUGCAGAAGAGGAGAGUGGAAUUCCACGUGUAGCGGUGAAAUGCGUAGAGAUGUGGAGGAACACCAGUGGCGAAGGCGACUCUCUGGUCUGUAACUGACGCUGAGGCGCGAAAGCGUGGGGAGCGAACAGG